rnacentral:sRNA from 2 species
AGAUGAUAGGUAAAAACAAAAUUGAUGAGGAAGAGAGAAGGAGAAGAGAAGAAGUUAAAAGGUUAGUAAU